rnacentral:rRNA from 1 species
GACGAACGCUGGCGGCGUGCUUAACACAUGCAAGUCGAACGGUGAAGCUCCAGCUUGCUGGAGUGGAUCAGUGGCGAACGGGUGAGUAACACGUGAGCAACCUGCCCCUGACUCUGGAAUAAGCGCUGGAAACGGCGUCUAAUACUGGAUACGAGAAGGGUCCGCAUGGGCACUUUCUGGAAAGUUUUUGGGUUGGGGAUGGGCUCGCGGCCUAUCAGCUUGUUGGUGGGGUAGUGGCCCACCAAGGCGACGACGGGUAGGCAGCCUGAGAGGGGGAACGGGGAAAUUGGGACCGAGAGACGGCGAAGAGCCCGAGGGGAGGGAGCAGGGGGGAAUGGUGCACAAGGGGCGCAAGGCUGAUGCAGCGAGGCCGCGGGGGGGAGGACGGGCUUCGGGUUGGAAACUCCUUUCGCCAAGGAAGAAGCGUUUUGUGACGGUACUUGGAGAAGAAGCACCGGCUAACUACGUG